UACGUAGGGUGCGAGCGUUGUCCGGAAUUAUUGGGCGUAAAGGGCUCGUAGGCGGUCUGUUACGUCGGGAGUGAAAACUCAGGGCUUAACCCUGAGCCUGCUUCCGAUACGGGCAGACUAGAGGUAUGCAGGGGAGAACGGAAUUCCUGGUGUAGCGGUGAAAUGCGCAGAUAUCAGGAGGAACACCGGUGGCGAAGGCGGUUCUCUGGGCAUUACCUGACGCUGAGGAGCGAAAGUGUGGGGAGCGAACAGG
rnacentral:rRNA from 1 species